CAUAGCGACUAUCGUGGCAUAUCAAUAAGCGGAGGAAAAGAAACUAACUAGGAUUCCCUCAGUAACGGCGAGUGAAGCGGGAAGAGCUCAAAUUUGAAAUCUUCAAGGUUUUCCCUUGACGAAUUGUAGUUUAAAGAAGUGUUUUCCUGUUAGAGUGUUGGUAAAGGUUCUUUGGAAUAGGACAUCAUAGAGGGUGAGAAUCCCGUAUUUGACCAUUAUUUCCAGCUGUGUGAUACACUUUCAAAGAGUCGGAUUGUUUGGGAAUGCAGUCCAAAAUGGGUGGUAAAUUUCAUCUAAAGCUAAAUAUUGGCGAGAGACCGAUAGCGAACAAGUACCGUGAGGGAAAGAUGAAAAGAACUUUGAAAAGAGAGUUAAACAGUACGUGAAAUUGUCAAAAGGGAAGCGUUUGACACCAGUGUAGUUUUCUCGAAAAUCAAUUACAAAUGGUUGGAUUUUUGAUGAGUUAUGACUUCAUCAGCUUUCUGCACUUUCUUUAUAUCUUUCUUAAUGCACUUUUCGUUUAACAAGUCAACAUCAAUUUCUUUUGUUGUAAAAGAGUCAUUGGAAGGUGGCUUUUCUUUCGGAGAAAGUGUUUAUAGCCUUUGAUCUCUGCAGCUCGGAGAGACUGAGGUCUGCAGCGUAGACUCUUCGGGGUUAGAUACAUUUGUGCUAAGCUAUAGCUUUUAUAGACAACUUGUUGACUAUGAUUAGUCAUUGUAGGCUUACUCGCUUAUGCUAUUUUACCUACGCUUAGGAUGUUGAUAUGCAUGACUGAUAU
rnacentral:rRNA from 1 species